GACGAACCGUCCAAACGUUAUUCGGAAUCACUGGGCUUAAAGGGUGCGUAGGCGGCGCGGAAAGUUGGGUGUGAAAUCCCCCGGCUCAACCGGGGAAUUGCGCCCAAAACUACCGUGCUUGAGGAAGACAGAGGUGAGCGGAACUUCGGGUGGAGCGGUGAAAUGCGUUGAUAUCCGAAGGAACACCGGUGGCGAAAGCGGCUCACUGGGUCUUUUCUGACGCUGAUGCGCGAAAGCUAGGGGAGCAAACGGG
rnacentral:rRNA from 1 species